UUUCUUCCACAGUUAUUCCCUCUUUAUCUAUUUCAGGUUGUUGGAGCAUCUCUUCUGCCUCCAGCUUUGCUAAAAGUUCCUCUGCUUUUGCUUUUUUUUCUAAUGCUAUGGACAACUUGAUGCUAGUCUUUCUCAUAGAUGUCUCAGAUGACAUCAGCUUUCUCUGUUCAGAGACAAUCUUUUUCCACUCCGUGAUGCUCUGACUUUCAUUUGUGGGACCAUUUUCAUUUAUCUCAAGUUUCUGCUCCUGAACCAUUGUAGC
rnacentral:misc_RNA from 1 species